rnacentral:rRNA from 1 species
GGCUCAGAUUGAACGCUGGCGGCAUGCCUUACACAUGCAAGUCGAACGGCAGCACGGACUUCGGUCUGGUGGCGAGUGGCGAACGGGUGAGUAAUGUAUCGGAACGUACCUUCAGUGGGGAUAACGUAGCGAAAGUUACGCUAAUACCGCAUAUUCUGUGAGCAGGAAAGCAGGGGAUCGCAAGACCUUGCGCUGAUUGAGCGGCCGAUAUCAGAUUAGCUAGUUGGUGAGGUAAAGGCUCACCAAGGCGACGAUCUGUAGCGGGGUCUGAGAGGAUGAUCCGCCACACUGGAACUGAGACACGGUCCAGACUCCUACGGGAGGCAGCAGUGGGGAAUUUUGGACAAUGGGGGCAACCCUGAUCCAGCCAUGCCGCGUGAGUGAAGAAGGCCUUCGGGUUGUAAAGCUCUUUCGGCCGGGAAGAAAUCGCAUGGGCUAAUACCCUGUGCGGAUGACGGUACCGGCAUAAGAAGCACCGGCUAACUACGUG